UACAGAGGGGGCAAGCGUUAUCCGGAAUUAUUGGGCGUAAAGGGCGCGUAGGCGGCCUGGCAAGUGGAAGGUGAAAUCCCUCGGCUUAACCGAGGAACUGCCCUCCAAACUGCUUGGCUUGAGUCCGGGAGAGGUGAGUGGAAUUCCCAGUGUAGCGGUGAAAUGCGUAGAUAUUGGGAGGAACACCAGUGGCGAAGGCGGCUCACUGGACCGGAACUGACGCUGAGGCGCGAAAGCGUGGGGAGCAAACGGG
rnacentral:rRNA from 1 species